AGAGUUUGAUCCUGGCUCAGAUUGAACGCUGGCGGCAGGCCUAACACAUGCAAGUCGAACGGUAGCACAGAGAGCUUGCUCUCGGGUGACGAGUGGCGGACGGGUGAGUAAUGUCUGGGAAACUGCCUGAUGGAGGGGGAUAACUACUGGAAACGGUAGCUAAUACCGCAUAACGUCGCAAGACCAAAGAGGGGGACCUUCGGGCCUCUUGCCAUCAGAUGUGCCCAGAUGGGAUUAGCUAGUAGGUGGGGUAACGGCUCACCUAGGCGACGAUCCCUAGCUGGUCUGAGAGGAUGACCAGCCACACUGGAACUGAGACACGGUCCAGACUCCUACGGGAGGCAGCAGUGGGGAAUAUUGCACAAUGGGCGCAAGCCUGAUGCAGCCAUGCCGCGUGUAUGAAGAAGGCCUUCGGGUUGUAAAGUACUUUCAGCGGGGAGGAAGGUGUUGUGGUUAAUAACCGCAGCAAUUGACGUA
rnacentral:rRNA from 1 species